CGACGCAAGCGAGCCAUCAGUGGCUGUACGGCACGUGAAAGGUCUCUGUACAGACCUGUUUUGCGCACUCUGGCUGUGGUGGAAGAAUCUUCUGGGCUCGGCCGCCAUGGGGAAAGUGAAUGUGGCCAAGUUGCGUUACAUGAGUAGGGACGACUUCAGGGUCUUGACCGCGGUUGAAAUGGGCAUGAAGAACCAUGAAAUAGUUCCCUGCAGUUUGAUUGCUUCUAUAGCCAGCCUUAAACAUGGUGGCUGUAAUAAGGUUUUAAGAGAAUUAGUGAAACAUAAACUCAUAGCCUGGGAGCGUACCAAAACUGUCCAGGGUUAUCGGUUGACAAACGCAGGCUAUGAUUACCUAGCUUUGAAAACACUUUCUUCAAGACAGGUAGUUGAGUCUGUUGGAAACCAGAUGGGUGUUGGCAAGGAAUCAGAUAUUUACAUCGUUGCAAAUGAAGAGGGACAUCAAUUUGCAUUAAAGCUUCACAGACUAGGAAGAACCUCCUUUAGAAACCUGAAAAAUAAGCGUGAUUACCAUAAACACAGACAUAACGUGUCUUGGCUUUAUUUAUCUCGUCUCUCUGCCAUGAAGGAAUUUGCUUAUAUGAAGGCAUUGUAUGAAAGGAAAUUUCCAGUUCCAAAGCCAAUCGAUUACAAUCGCCAUGCAGUAGUCAUGGAACUCGUAAAUGGCUAUCCUUUAUGUCAGAUACACCAUGUUGAAGAUCCUGCAUCAGUAUAUAAUGAAGCUAUGGAACUAAUUGUUAAACUUGGAAAUCAUGGGCUAAUUCAUGGCGAUUUCAAUGAAUUCAAUCUCAUUUUGGAUAAAGAUGACCACAUCACCAUGAUUGAUUUUCCACAGAUGGUUUCAACUUCUCAUCCCAAUGCUGAAUGGUAUUUUGACAGAGAUGUUAAAUGCAUUAGAAAUUUCUUCAUAAAACGUUUCAGCUAUGAAAGUGAGCUUUAUCCAGCCUUUAGUGAUAUCAGGAGAGAGGACUCUCUUGAUGUAGAGGUUUCUGCCAGUGGCUACACAAAGGAAAUGCAGGCAGAUGAUGAACUGCUUCAUCCAGUCGGGCCAGAUGAUAAAAAUACUGAAGCAGAUGAAGGAUUUCAAUUCGCAUUUUCAGAUGAAGAGGUGUCAGAAAAAGCAACGGUUUGUAGGUCAGAAGAUGAAAGUGAAGGAAACCCUGGAGGUGAAUCAGAUGGCUGCUGUUGCAUGUCACCUGUAAACCUUGAACAGACAAUGGAAGACCAUCUGUCAGAGGGAAGUGCUGAUGCACCCGGUUUUGAAAUGACUGAAUUCAGUCAAGCUGUAGAUGAAAUAAAAGGGCGGGUUGGUGAAAACAAUUCUGUAACUGAGUUUUCUAAGGAGAAAAACAGAACUGAAAAUGGCACCAGACAAGACAGUCAGACGGGUCAAGGAGGAACGCCUGCUGGCUCUGAGGACCAUGAAGACGAGUGCCCUCAUCUGACUGCCUUGGCAUCAUUAAACAAAGAAUUGAGGCCUUUCAGAGAUGAAGAAAAUAUGGGAGAUGUUACUCAGUAUAGAACAAGAACUCUGAGUGUUACUUCUGCAGGCAGUGUUGUCAGCUGUUCAACAAUUCCCCCGGAGACAUUUGAAUGAUGCAGAGCUAUAUGUUCAAUUAAGAACAGGUUGUAGUGCUUCAGAGCAAGAGAAGGUCAUUGUGAACUGAAUACUUAAAUGUCUUAUUCAUCCUUUAAGUCCUAUGACAUGUGCCACUGGUGUCUUGACUUACAAAUAAUUUAAAUUUAUGGCCAUGUACUAGGAGAAAGCAUUCUACAUCUCCCAAAAAUGAAGACUUCUGCAUGGAUAACUGCUGUCAUGUCUGCCCCUGAAGUUAUGAGGACACUCUUGAACUAGUGAAACAGAAGGUGAAACGUCAGUUGACAAAACAGCAAAAGGCAGCUGUCAGACGUCGACUGCAGAAAGGAGAAGCAAAUAUAUUUACUAAACAACGGAGGGAAAACA